CUUAUAAUGGUUCAUUAGCCUAUUGCUCUGCCAUGCGCUGUAGCUUAAUUAGUUGUGGCUCUACCACACACAGCAGAAGAUGGCUUGGGACACUGACAUUCACAACAGAUAAUCAGAUACUGCAGAACAGAGAAAGGAAACAUACAUGAUUCAAGAGAUUCGUAUGCAACCGCGAGCCCUUUGCCCAGGUGUGGAGAGAGGGUAGGAAGGAAGAGAAUGGGGGAAGGAGACUGUAUGACCAAUUGCAUCCUUAUGAAGUUCCAGUACAUGUAUUUAUUUUUACAUGUACAUAGGUUCCUUGUAAUUGGUAUUCAGCAAGGUCUGCAACUGAGAUGUGUGUCAGGUGGAGCUGCCAGGAAGUCUUUGCUGAAAGGGUUGGAGGUGCUUUUAUGACUCUCAGAUAGAAAUCCAAGCUCGAGAUACAAAACUAUUAUUCAUCAUAAAAUAUUGCUAACACUGAAGAACAUUCUCAAGCAUUUCACUGGAUUUUAUGCUGGAGUGAAGGAAAUGAACUGUUCAGGGGUUGUGUAAUUGUUAUUAAAAGGUUCUUCAACAUACAUAAAAAUUAUACCUGAGCUGAAACUGUUCAUUAAAGAUGAGUGAAAACUACUGAAGUGGGCUGUUCUUUUUCCCCUGGAUAUCACUACAGGCCUUCUUAAUAUAUUACACAGAUACUAAUUUGUUUGCCUUGGAGGUCUGUGAUAAUUCGUCAGUGAAGUGAGUUUCCAGAGAAAAUGGAAAAUAGGAAUAAAUGAGAAGAGAAGAAUAAUGAGAUUUGCUGG
rnacentral:lncRNA from 1 species